GAGUCGUAUAAUCACCUUUUUGUUGCUAAUGCUUCAAGCCAAACUGAAAGAGAUGCACUAAUAUAGAAAGUUGUUACACCGCAAAGGAUUCACGUACUUCUAUGGUUGCUUGUCCGAGAUAGAAUUCUAACUAAUGAGGAACAAACAAGACGGGGUAUGGCUCAUAUCCCUUUUUGUGAACUAUGUGAAACAAACAAGAUGGGGUAUGGCUCAUAUCCCUUUUUGUGACCUAUGUGAAAGUGUGGAGUCUACAAUCCAUGCUGUAAGGGAUUGUGGGUUUGCAAAAAUAGUUUGGAAAUACAUUGUACAAAGAAGAGGUUGAGGGGUUUUCUUCAGUAUAACAUUACAGAGAUGGGUUUUAACACCCCUCGCUCGUAUCCGACGCUAAGAUAGGGUUCAUG
rnacentral:lncRNA from 1 species